UGGGGUGUCGUCUAAUGGUAGGACAGCGGUUUCUGGUGCCGUAUGUGGGGGUUCGACUCCUCCCACCCCAGCCA
rnacentral:tRNA from 1 species